rnacentral:rRNA from 1 species
UACGUAGGGGGCAAGCGUUAUCCGGAUUUACUGGGUGUAAAGGGAGCGUAGACGGUUAAGCAAGUCUGAAGUGAAAGGCGGGGGCUCAACCCCCGGACUGCUUUGGAAACUGUAUGACUGGAGUGCAGGAGAGGUAAGUGGAAUUCCUAGUGUAGCGGUGAAAUGCGUAGAUAUUAGGAGGAACACCAGUGGCGAAGGCGGCUUACUGGACUGUAACUGACGUUGAGGCUCGAAAGCGUGGGGAGCAAACAGG